rnacentral:tRNA from 1 species
GCCGACAUAGCUCAGCGGUAGAGCAACGCUUUUGUAAAGCGAAGGUCGAGGGUUCAAAUCCCCCUGUCGGCU